rnacentral:rRNA from 1 species
AACGUACGCUGGCGGCACGCCUAACACAUGCAAGUCGAACGCAGUAGCAAUACUGAGUGGCAAACGGGUGAGUAUAAUGUGGGAAUCUGCCUUUUGGUUUGGAAUAACACGGGGAAACUUGUGCUAAUACUGAAUAAGCCCUUACGGGGAAAGUUUUAACGCCGAAAGAUGAGCCUGCACUUGAUUAGCUAGUUGGUAAGGUAAAAGCUUACCAAGGCGACGAUCAAUAGCUGUUCUUAGAGGAAGACCAGCCACAUUGGGACUGAGACACGGCCCAGACUCCUACGGGAGGCAGCAGUGGGGAAUCUUGCACAAUGGGGGAAACCCUGAUGCAGCGAUGCCGCGUGAGUGAAGAAGGCCCUUGGGUUGUAAAACUCUUUCGUCGGGGAAGAAAAUGACUGUACCCGAAUAAGAAGGUCCGGCUAACUUCGUGCCAGCAGCCGCGGUAAUACGAAGGGACCUAGCGUAGUUCGGAAUUACUGGGCUUAAAGAGCUCGUAGGUGGUUAAAAAAGUUGAUGGUGAAAUCCCAAGGCUCAACCUUGGAACUGCCAUCAAAACUUUUUAGCUAGAGUGUGAUAGAGGUAAGUGGAAUUUCUAGUGUAGAGGUGAAAUUCGUAGAUAUUAGAAAGAACACCAAAUGCGAAGGCAACUUACUGGGUCACUACUGACACUGAGGAGCGAAAGCAUGGGUAGCGAAGAGGAUUAGAUACCCUCGUAGUCCAUGCCGUAAACGAUGUGUGCUAGACGUUGGAAAUAUAUUUUUCAGUGUCGCAGCGAAAGCAUUAAGCACACCGCCCUGGGGAGUACGACCGCAAGGUUAAAACUCAAAUGAAUUGACGGGGACCCGCACAAGCAGUGGAGCAUGGUGGUUUAAUUCGAAGAUACGCGCAGAACCUUACCAACACUUGACAUGUUCGUCGCGAGACUA